rnacentral:rRNA from 1 species
UACGGAGGGUGCAAGCGUUAUCCGGAUUCACUGGGCGUAAAGGGUGCGCAGGCGGCCAAGUGUGUCAGGUGUGAAAUCCCGGAGCUUAACUCCGGAACUGCGCCUGAAACUACUUGGCUAGAGCAUUGGAGAGGGAAGUGGAAUUCACGGUGUAGCAGUGAAAUGCGUAGAUAUCGUGAGGAACACCAGAGGCGAAGGCGACUUCCUGGACAAUUGCUGACGCUCAGGCACGAAAGCGUGGGGAGCCAAAGGG